AGAGUGAUUGUGUUCCAUUCUCUAACUAUGUCACAUGCUGAGUAAUUUCUGUGAGGAAUAUCCAAGAUUGGAUCAUAGACUUCCUCCAAUUCUUAUGGCCUGUUAUAUAGUGUCGUUAUAUAUUUGCAAAAAGAAGAUAGAAAAAGUGAAAUAAUUCCCAUAUGGCUUGUUAUAUAGUGUAACUUAUGAAAAAAAGAAAGAAGAUGAAAGGUCAACAGCAAGUAAUUUCUUUUAUGUGAAGUUCUAUGACUGGAAUUGUCCAAAAAGAUGACCCCAGUGAAGAAGUGAGUUCCAGAUGGAAAGAAUUUAGAAGACUCGUGUUCCUUUCAAGUUAACUUAUUUCUAUUUGGGAGCAUCUUGACCGUUGACAACUUCCAAAAAAAAGGGUAUGUCAUGUUUUAUAUAUGUUAUCUUCAUAAGACACAACUGAGUUGGUGCAACACAUUCUAUUGAGGUGUAUUCACCUAGAUAACUUCGGCACCUAGUUCAUUCUUUCAUAGGAAAUUCAUGUGUGGCCACAGAGUUGAUUGAAAUGAAAUGUGGGCUUUGAGGGGCAUAAUCUCAUGUACAGAAAAAAAAAAUUCCAUUGAAUUUCUCUGUCUGCUCUUCAGGUUUUAUAAUGAGAAAGGAGAAGGGAUUUUCAGCAGGAACAGUUCUCUCUCUUGGCUCUAAAAGAAAGAUGGCUUAAUAAAAUGGAAUUUUGGUUCAGCAGGGAGCAAUUUGAGGACACACAGGCUGCCUUAAAUUUAAAUUUGUCUUGUAUAUGGGUUGGCAUUUAUUCUAUUCAAUCCUCUAAAGCAACUAUUCUAUCACAAAUAUUGCUUUCACAAUCAUUCUGACCUCGUACUUUAGGUGUCAUUGGUGUGCAACCUGAGCUAAUUACUGCAAUCAAAGAAUGCGACAGCAUUAUACAUGAAGAGGUAAAAGACUAUUUUCUCAAAGCUGAAAGGUCGUCAGACCAUCCAGACAUGGUGUUCAGUUGACUUUUGGAUGUGAACUCAUUCCUACCAUUAAGUAAGCAUCAAAUCCUU
rnacentral:misc_RNA from 1 species